AUGGAAACCUCGUCUACGGCGGUGAAUGCAAUAAAUGAGGAUGUACUUUCGGUUGCCUCGAGUUUGCGGAUUGACAUAGAAAUGACAACUAACACUCAGGAUAAAGCUGCUUCAUCCUCACCACCAGCUAUUUUUCACCAUCCCAACGAAGGUGAUGUGAACAUAAAGGGAGGCGGAUCCUCAAUGGGUGUUGCAGAACUCCUUCCAAAGAUCUUAAAGCCUAUACUUGGUCCACAAAUCACGGGUACAUACGCUGAGGGUGACCCUUUCCUUGCUAAACUCCAAGAAAUUGACCGUGACCUACAAAAGUUUGAUAAUGUCCCAUAUGAGAAAAAGGAGUGCACAGGAAACCAACAAAGUGCUCAGUUAUCCCAAAUUGAGGGCUGUCAGAUUAGGGAGGUGGGCUCAUUGGGAUUCGGAAUAGACGAAUAUGUAAAGUGUGCGGAUUUAGGAAUAACAAAAGUCUCAAAUGGACCGGAAGGGAAAGGAAAAAUAGGACUUGGGCCCGACCCACAAAAAGAUAUGAAAAAAGGGCAAUGGACCAGAAUAACAAAAAGGCUCAAUUAUGAUUUAGGGGAGGAAGUCUCAUAUGGGGUUGAUGGCCUAAAAUGUAAAGCAAGGGAGAAUCAGACCCGUGAGGAACUUAAUACAGAGAAGGAAAAAAAAAAAAAAAAAAACAAAAGAUAGAGGAGGAAACUAUGAAACAAAGUGUGUUAAAGCAAGGGAGAAUCAGACCCGUGAGGAACUUAAUACAGAGAAGUAAAAAAAAAAAAAAAAAAACAAAAGAUAGAGGAGGAAACUAUGAAACAAAGUGUGUGGUUUGCCACACAAUUGGGAUUGGUGGAGGUUGCGAAGCAACCCCACUGGGUGCAAUGAGUAUCCUUAGUUGGAACUGUCAAGGUCUUGGGAAUUGGCAGACAGUUCAAGAGCUCGGUGAUUUAGUCCGGGCACAAGAUCCCACAGUGGUGUUUUUAGUUGAAAUAUGGCUGGAUGAGUCAAGGCUAGCUGGAUUACGUGAUUCACUUCAUUUCGGUCAUCUCCAUGGGGUUUCAAGAUUAACUCGUGGUGGUGGCGGCUUGGUGUUUUUUUGGAAGAAUGACUUUGAUUUACAAGUUAUGUCUUCCUCAAAAAAUCAUAUUGAUGUCCUGAUCAAUAGUGGAAAGGAAAAUGUGUGGCGCUUUACUGGUUUUUACGGAGCACCAGAAACUCAGUUUUGUAUGGAAUCUUGGGAUUUAUUACGAGAUUUAAACAAUUGCUUCUCUGUUUCAUGGUUGUAUGGGGGGGGGGAUUUUAAUGAACUUUUGAAGUCACAUGAAAAAUUGAGAGGCCGUUUAUGACCUUAUACAAAUGCAAAAAUCCCGCAAAGCCCUUGACGAGUGUGGUUUGUUUGAUCUUGGUUUUGUGGGUAAUAAGUUCAUGUGGCACAAAACUCAUCCGAGUGGUGGUGUGGUGUGGGAAAGGUUGGACAGAGCUGUCAGUACAACUGAUUGGUUUAACUUAUUCCCUACAACUAAAUUAAAAACUCUGGUUUGUGCCUCCUCUGACCAUAGUCCUAUCAUGGUCCUACUUGAGGGGAUCAAUUUAAAGCCCCUACACCCUUGGCGUUUUGAACAUAUGUGGCUUGAAGAACAAGGCUGCGAUGACACGGUUCAGAAUGCUUGGAAAGCCAUCUCCUCGGACCCACCUAUGACAAAAAGUUAUGCUGAAUGUUGAUACAUGUAAAACCCAGCUGAAAGUUUGGUGUAAGAAGUCCUUUUGUAAUGUAGUAAACACGUUAUUGGAGAAAAAAAAAGAAUCUGAAAGAAGUGGAAGAGUCUGCUAUGAAAGGAGGGAGUGUUGAUUUUUUUUCUUCAAUUAAAAGCUGAGGUGGCCGAGCUUCUUAGAGUGGAAGAAAAAAUGUGGCAGCAGCGAAGCCACGUGUACUGGAUGAUUUCAGGUGACAAAAACUCUAGCUAUUUCCAUAACUGUGCUUCACAACGUUUCCAGCAAAACAGCAUUUCCAUAACCGUGCUUCACAAUUAAAAGCUGUGAUCUCAUGCCUAAAUUCAAACUUUAUAGAGACAGGUUUGAAUCAUACUUUUAUUACUCUUAUUCCUAAGGUGAAGAGUCCUGAAUUUGUUACGAAAUUUCACCCCAUUGCCCUCUGUAAUAUUUUAUAUAAACUUGUUUCAAAAGUGUUGGCAAAUAGGCUGAAGAAAAUUUUACCCCAUGUUAUUUCUGAAUCUCAGAGUGCAUUUCAAUUGGAUAAAGCUAUUUCUGAUAAUAUCUUGGUAGCCUUUGAGACUUUGCACCAUAUGAAGAGGAAAAGAAUAGGAAAAAUGGGACAUAUGGCUUUAAAAUUGGAUAUGAGUAAAGCCUAUGAUUGGUUGGAGUGGGUCCUCCUUCAAAGGAUUAUGGAGAAGAUGGGCUUUCAUUCGAAGUGGAUAGGCUGGAUUAUAGAGUGUGUAAAAUCUGUGUCCUAUUCGAUUUUAGUCAAUGGUGAACCAAAAGACCAUAUUGUCCCCUCACGAGGUAUUCGUCAAGGUGAUCCUCUCUCUCUUUAUCUUUUUUUGUUAUGUUCUGAAGGUCUAAAUGGGUUAAUUGAAUGCAGUGGACUGUAAACAUAUUGAGGUUGUCUCUCUUUGUAGAAAUAGACCAAAGAUCUCCCACCUCUUUUUUGCAGAUGAUAGCCUACUAUUUUGCCGUGCAAGAGUAGGAGACGUGGAAAAAAUUCAGGAGAUGUUGGGAAAAUAUGAACGGGCUUCAAGAAAAAAAAUUAACUAGGACAAGACUACCCAUUUUUUUAGCAAUAAUACCUCAGUUGAUACAAAGGAAGAAUUAAAAAUUUUGCUUGGAAUGGUCGAAAUAAAGGAGUAUGAAAGGUAUUUGGGUUUAUAACGGUAGUUGGUAGGAAAAAAAAGGCGAGCUUGAAUUUCAUAAAAGAUAGAGUGUGGGGUAAACUCCAAGGGUGGAAAGAGAAAUUAUUAUCGCAAGCCGGUAGAGAAGUUCUUUUGAAGGUGGUGGUUCAAGCCAUUCCUACGUUUGCAAUGAGUUGUUUUCGAUUGCCAAUUGGUCCUUGUCAAGACAUUGAGAUGCUUAUUCGAAAAUUUUGGUGGGGACAAAGGGGUGAUAGAAGAAAAAUUCAUUGGGCAAAAUAGGAGGUAUUAUGUCAACCAAAGAGUGAGGGGGGUUUGGGCUUUAAAGAUCUUUGCAAAUUUAAUAAAGCUAUGUUGGAAAAGUAGGUGUGGAGAUUGAUACAUGAUAAGGAGUCUCUAUUUUAUAAAGUUUUUAAGCUGAAGUAUUUUCCAAACUACUCAAUUUUUGAAGCUAAAACUUCUUCUGGCUUUUUCGCAUGGAAGAGUAUUCUGUGGUCUAGGAAUUUAAUUGAAAAGGGAUCCUUUUGGAGAAUUGGAAAUGGCAAAUUGGUUUAGAUAUAUAAAGACGCUUGGCUACCAAGUCUUGAGGGCCGUUUAAAUUCUCCAGUGGUGCAUCUAGCAUCAGAGUCUACAGUGGACUCUCUGAUUAAUUCUGAAUCGGGUUGGUGGGAUACCAAUCUCAUUGAUUUGUGCUUUUAUCCACUUGAUGCUUUGUUGAUCAAGUCUCUGCCUCUGUGUUCUAGUCUGCAACCCGACACUUUGGUUUAGAGAUCAGAAUUAUCAGGCUUCUAUUCAGUGAAGUCAGGUUAUAAGUUCUUGUGUGAGCUUUAUUUUCCUGACACGAAUCGUCCACUUGUAUGAAAAAGCACAAGGAUCUUUAGAAAGAAACGAAAUGCUAGAGAGAGAAUUCAAGUUGAAGAAGAAAUUGAUUUCUCAUUAAUGAAUUGAAUCUAUACAAACUCUGUGUCUAAAUACCAAAACAGAGAGCAACAGAGGGCAAAGAAAAUAUCCCCUAAAUACAUGGAGGUAGUUAUAGCACGUGAGUCAGUUAAUUACUCCAUGUGUGAACAUAAUCCAUCUAAAACAUGAUAAACUACAUGUAGCUUUAUACACUAAAACAUAGAACUACAAUAAUUACACUUAUACUGAUGUCGUUUUAGUCUUGUCACUCAUUUCUUCGUUUUAGUCUUCUUCUGUUGUAUUUCUUUUCUUUCUUUCUGAUGUGAACUACAGUCUUGAUACUCCCCCUCAAGAUGAAAACUUGGACUGUGAAUGUUCACAAUGUUCAUCUUGGAAAGUAAAGCUCUCAGCUGUUGACCACUAAGAGCCUUUGUGAGUAAAUCAGCUAGUUGAGAAUGAGUGGGAGUGAAGAACAAUCUGAGCACCUUAUCUUGGACCUUAUUUCUGACCAAGUGACAAUCUAUUUCUAUAUGUUUGGUUCCCUCAUGAAACAUAGGGUUCUCACCAAUGUAUAUGGCUGCCUGAUUAUCACAGAAAAGCAUAGCAGGUCUAAGGUGAAGAACUUCCAAAUCCUUUAACAAAGCUAGAAGCCAAGUUAUUUCGCAUGUGGUCAUUGCCAUGGCUCUAUACUCUGCCUCAGCAGAGGAUCUAGAGACUAUAGAUUGCUUCUUGGUCUUCCAUGAAAUUAGAGAAUUUCCUAGAAAAAUACAAAAUCCAGUGGUAGACCUUCUGGUGUUAACACAAGAUGCCCAAUCUGCAUCUGUGUAAGCUUUUAAUUGCAAGUAUGAGUUUGAUGACAAAAGAACACGCUGACCAGGACUCCCUUUAAGGUAUUGCAACACUUUAUAAGCUGCAUCCAGAUGAGGUUUUCGUGGUUUGGACAUGAAUUGGCUUAGUUUUUGAACUGAGUAGGCAAUGUCUGGUUUGGUUAUAGUGAGAUACAACAAUCUCCCUACUAAUCUCCUGUAAACACUAGGAUCAGGUAGCAACUCCCCACAAAACAUGCUCAGCUUCAAAUUUUGUUCCAUAGGAACUCUACUAGGUUUGCAACCUGUCAUCCCAGCAUCUUUAAGUAUCUCCAAGGCAUAUUUCCUUUGGCAUAAAGAAAUGCCUAGCUCUGAUCUAGCCACUUCAAGACCAAGAAAAAAUCUCAGGUUUCCAAGGUCUUUCAGCUUGAACUCUUGAUUCAAAAACACCUUAAGUUCAUCAACAGCAUGAGCAUCAUUGCUGGCAAUAAGUAUGUCAUCAACAUACACUAAUAGAGCUAUAAAAGAUUGAUUACACUUCUUUGUAAAGAGAGAGUAAUCUGACUUAGAUUGUUUGAAUCCACACUUCAAAAUGGUAGAUGAAAACUUGGAGUACCAUUGUCUUGAGGCUUGCUUUAAACCAUACAAAGACUUAUUGAGCUUACACACCAAUUGCUCCCCCUUGCUGUGAAACCCUUGAGGUAGAUGCAUGUAAACAUCCUCAUGGAGAUCACCAUGGAGGAAAGCAUUGUUUACAUCAAGUUGAACAAGGUGCCAGCCCUUCAAAGCAGCAAUGGCAAGUAAAGUCUUCACUGAAGUCAUCUUUGCCACAGGAGAAAAGGUAUCUGUGAAGUCCAAACCCUCUUGUUUGGUGAAGCCCUUGGCCACAAGACUUGCCUUGUACCUCUCCACUGUCCUAUCAGCCUUAUUCUUGAUCUUAUAUACCCAUUUGCACCUAAUUGCCUUUUUGUGAGGAGGGAGGGAAGUGAGGGACCAUGUUUGAUUAGAUUCCAAUGCUGUAAUCUCAGCAGCCAUUGCAUUUUGCCACUUAAGAUCUUUGACAGCCUCAGAAUAAGAUUUGGGCUCAGAAAUGGCAGUGAUUAGAGAAUAAAAAUGGGAAUAAGAAGGAGAUAAACCAGAAGAAUUGAGGUAAUCAGUAAGGGAUAUGGAGUACCUGACAUGGAGGGGAGACAACCUAACUUGAUGGAUGGAUUGGAGGUAGCAAGCUGAGCAUGAACAACAUUACUGCACCUAUAGUCUUGCAAAUAAGCAGAAGCUUUACUGAGUCUAGCAGAUUUUCUUAAGGAAGGAAUGGAAGCAGGAUUAGAGAUAGGAAUUGGAUUGGGAAUGGAAGCAGGUAUAGGGUUUGCAGAAAUAUCAGUAGUAGGUAUGAGAGAAGCGGGAGUGGAAAUGGGAAUGGAAGCAUGUAUAGGGUCUGCAAGAUUAGCAGCAGUAGGAGUUGGGGAAAGGGAUGAUAAAUCUGAAGUAGUAUGGGAGUCAGAAAUAGGCAAAACAGAUGUUGAAUCAAGGAUUGGAGUUGGGACAGGAGUAAUAGGGUUAGAAGUAGAAGGUAAAAGAUCAGUGUAAAAAUCAAGGGAAGGGAAAAUAUGCGGCAAAUUGAUUGUAGAAUAAGGUGAAGCUGAAUAGGUGGAGGAUAUGAAGGGAAAGACAGUCUCAUGAAAAAGGACAUCCCUAGAGAUAGAAAUUUUCUUGGUAGCUAAAUCCAGCACUUUGUAACCUUUAACCCCAUAAGGAUAACCUAGAAAAACACAAGGCAAGGAUCUAGGAUCAAAUUUAGACCUAUUGUGAGACAAAGUAGAAGCAAAACAUAGGCAUCCAAAAACCUUUAGAUGAUCAUAGGAAGGGAUUUUGUUAUAAAGUUUCCCAAAAGGUGUUCUGUUGCCUCGGAUGGAAGAGGGUAUCUAUUAAUAAUAUACACAACAGUUAAAACACAAUCACCCUAAAAGGUAAGAGGCAUAUUGGACUAAAAUUUUAAGGCUCUUGCAAUGCUCAAUAUGUGUUGAUGUUUCCUCUCUACAACUGAAUUCUGUUAUGGAGUGGCUACACAUGAAUGUUGAUGUAAAAUUCCAUGGGCUGCAUAAAAAUCUUUUAGGAUAAAUUCUUGAGCAUUAUCAGUCCUAAUAGCCUUGAUUUUGAUGUUAAAUUGUGUGGAUAUCAUAUUGAAGAAAGAAAUCAACAAUGGUCUGGUUUCAGAUUUAUUUUUCAUAAGAUACAACCAUGUGGAUCUAGUGUCAUCAUCAACUAUGGUAAGGAAAUAUCUAAAACCAUCAUGAGUGGAUUUGGCAAAAGGACCCCAUACAUCACAAUGAAUAAGAUCAAAAGCAAAUUCAGAUAUAUGAUUGAAGAAAGGAAAAGGCAAAUGUUUUUGUUUUGCAAUGGGGCAAAGAGUACAAGUUUUAUUGCUAUGAACACUGCUUACAUCAGGAAUACAAUCAUGUAAAACCUGUAAUUUUGCAUCUGAAGCAUGUCCUAGUUUAAGAUGCCAAAGAAAAGGCUUGGUUAUGACAGGAACUUCAGAAACAUUAUUGACAAAAGUACUAAAAACAGAAUCCAAAAUAGAAGAUGCUGCAGAAUCAGAUUUGCAAGGAGUUGUAGAUAGCAAGUAGAGGUUGUUAUGCAGUUUACCCACUCCAAUCGUUUUCCAACAAGAAAGGGCCUGUAUGAAACAUAAAUUGGACAAGAAAACAAAACAACAUGACAGGCUUUUUGUUAAUUGACUCACUGAGAUCAAAUUGAAAGUGAAAGUAGGAACACAUAACACAUUUUCAAGAACAAGACUAGCUGUAACUUGAAUGGUGCCAAUGUGUGUGACAACAACUCUUUCACCAUUAGGUAAUUGAACAAAGGAUGACAUGGAACUUGUGAUUUUAGUGAAAAGGUUAACAAAAUGAACAAUGUGAUCUGUUGCCCCAGUGUCUAGGACCCAAGUUUGCUUACCAAAAAUUGUUUUAUUGGCUGGAUUUGUGGCAAAAAUGGAAUGUUGCAUAUUCAAGCACACAGAAUCUUGUAAAGAGGCAUAAAGAUUACCUGAAAUGGCAGAAUUGGCUGUAGCUACAGCAUCAUUGGAAGUACUAGAAGUGGAGGCAUGAGUGCUCAGUAGGGAAAGCAACUAUUGAUACUGCUCUGAGGUAAAAGGAAAUAAAUUAGUUUGAUGCACGAAUUCAGGUUGACCUUGAUUAUGAUCAGUCAUAACUUGAUUAGCCUUGGCAAUCCUUCCUUUUUGCUUGUAACCUGGAGGGAAUCCAACAAGCUUGUAACAUUUUUCCAUAAUGUGACCAAGCUUCCCACAGUGGUUGCACACAGGUCUUCCCUUGCCAAUAUUCCAUUAGAAAUUACUGCCAUUUCUGUUGUUUGGAGAACCUUGAUUGAAAGCUUGGUUCUUAAUAGCAAGUACAACUGAUUCAACAGAAGGAGUACCAUUAAAGGUUGAAAACCUUUGCCUUUCUUCCUGAAUUACCAACGAGAAAGCCUUAUCUAUUGAUGGAACAGGCUCCAUCAUAAGGAUUUGAGUCUUGACUUGUGAAAAACAAUUAUUCAAUCUGUUGAGAAACUACAUGAUUGAAUCUUAAUGAUAAAGAUGUGCAAUCUUAUCAUUUACUCCACAAAUGCACUUGCCACAUGAACAACUUGGUAAAGGCCUGAGAUUCAACAAUUGAUCCCAAGUAGCUUGAAGGUCAGUGAAAAAAGUUGUCAUUGUGGAAUCUCCCUGCAUUAUAGUGGAAAUUUGCUUCUGGAGUUGAGAAAUUCUAAGUCCAUUGGCUUGCAAAAAACGAAUCUUGAGUGCAUUCCACACUGCAAGAGUUGUGUCUCUGUUGAAAGCUCGAAAAUGUGUUGAAAACACAAGAGCAAUUUAGACCCCCCAAUUAAAAUUACGGCUCGAUGGAUUUUACACUAACUUAAUACUAAGUGCGGAAUAGUGUAAAUGCGAGCGGAUAAACACAUAAGCUACUCUAAUCCAUAAACUAAGCAACACAGCAGUACAAUGAAAUAUAAAAGAGUAGGGAAGAAGGAUGCAAACACUGAAAACACCAAGAUGUGUUUUCGAAGAGGAAAUCGAAGAACUCGGCGAAAAACCUCUCCGCCGCCCUCCAAGCGGAACUCGAUCCACUAGACAAUCAGUUGGGAUACAUGGGUUAGCAAGAGACCCUCCAAGCCUAAUCUACCCGAUGCACCUAAGCCCUCCAAGCUCCUACUCUAACAAGGCUUCUCGGAACCGUGUCUUGUCUAGCUCUUCGGAUCCCGCAACAAGCUCCAUGUUGCAUCUGCCAUUCUAGGCUUCUUCCAAUGCUUCCUAGCAGCACCAAAACAUCACUCAACACACUCAAAGGGUGAGGUAAGUUUUUGGGCUAUCAACCUCUCAAUGGUAUGGAAAUGGAGAGGGAAGAGUUGAUGAAAUACCACAAGCAAGUGUAUAGAGGAAGGUGGGGAUGACAAUCUCUAAUUCCCAAUAUGUUUGGCUAGGGUUUUCUCUCUGAAGCACUCCUCAACAUUUGUGGGUAAUGAGGGUAUAUAUAGGAUAGGUACAAAAAGUGUGAGUCAGUCAAUACAGGCUGGCAGAACAGAAUAUUUCGCGAGUGUCUCGCAGGAAGGCCUUACCCGCGAGAUACUCGCGAGACACAGUUGUCUCCAUCUUGGCCUGACUCUUCGCAUUCCAGCAUGUGCAAGGCACAUGACUCACUUCGCGGGAAGCUAAGUCGCGACAUACCCGUGAGAAUCCUUCAGCCUCCAAAUGCUUGAGUCUUCACACAUUCUAUCUAUCACACAACCCUUACAACAAAUCCCACAAACAAUACAGGGUAUGAACAAUUGAAAGUGAUUACAAUCAAGUUUGGCACGGAAUAAAAGUCAACAAAAUACAUAGUUGUAAAUAACAACUUUACAUCUGUAAAUGACACUAGCUUUGAUGUGAGGUGAUACAGAAUUCAAGAUCUAAGAUGAGAUCAUCGAAUUGCAUUUUGACCAGGCCUAUUUCUCGAGCUGUGUGACUGCCAUGGAAGCAGUGAUAGAGCCAUCAACAAAACCAGGUUUACUUUUGGCAUCCAAAGCCAUUAUCAUCGCUCUAGACCAAGUUGGAUAGUUAUCCUCAGUCAAGUGUUGAGCAACGAGGAUCGCACCAGAAGAUUCUCCAUGAUGCAUAAAGAAAGGACUACGAGGAUCCUCCAUUGGAGAGAGCUCGCGAUACGAAGAAUUAGCUGAGGCAGUUUCAGUGUUUGAUGCCAUUGAUAAAGGCUCAAGCUCUGAUACCAUAUGAAAAAGCACAAGGAUCUUUAGAAAGAAACGAAAUGCUAGAGAGAGAAUUCAAGUUGAAGAAGAAAUUGAUUUCUCAUUAAUGAAUUGAAUCUAUACAAACUCUGUGUCUAAAUACCAAAACAGAGAGCAACAGAGGGUAAAGAAAAUAUCCCCCAAAUACACAGAGGCAGUUAUAGCAUGUGAGUCAGUUAUUUACUCCACGUGUGAACAUAAUCCAUCUAAAACAUGAUAUAUUACAUGUAGCUUUAUACACUAAAACAUAGAACUACAAUAAUUACACUUAUACUGAUGUCGUUUUAGUCUUGUCACUCAUUUCUUCGUUUUAGUCUUCUUCUGUUGUAUUUCUUUUCUUUCUUUCUGAUGUGAACUACAGUCUUGAUAACCUGUCUCGGAUUCUAUGAAGAGUUUUGGAAAAGCAUCUGGAAGUUGAAAGUUCCUGGCAAGAUCAAGCAUUUUCUCUGGAAGGCCUGCAUAAAUUCGCUGCCCACUAAAGAAAAUUUACUGAAGUGAAAAAUCCUCCAAGAAUCGAGUUGUCCUCGAUGUUCUGGUGUUUUGGAGUCUGUCGUGCAUGCUUUAUGGAGCUGUACCUAUAUCGAAGUAGUUUGGAAUGCGGAUUUUGACUGGGUGGAUCGGAGUUCAUCGGCUUCUAAGUCCUUUUCGAACAUUUUACAAAAUAUGGUUAGCAAAAUAAAGCCUCUCUGACCAAAGGUUUAGUGGCUCAGUGGCUCACGUACCAAAGGCUAGUGAAGUAGAUUAAACCUUUGAGUGGCACUAAACCAUUUUUGAGAUGAAAAUAAAGCACGUGAGAGGCACUAAAGCAAAAAAGGAUUGUUUUUUAGGCACUAAAGCACAUGAGAGGCACUAAAAACAAAAUAAAACCUCUCUCAGCAUUUAACAAUCCUUUUCUCUAUCAUUUAGCUCAAAAAAAAAAAAUCCUUUUCAAAAAAAAAAAAAACUUUCAAAAAAAAAAAAAGAAACAGAACAGAAGUUAAAGAACGCAAUGGCUCAACGCUGGAAGAAGAAGAUGAAGAAGCAAAAAAGAAGAAGAAGAAGAAGGAAGGGGUUAAGCUGGUGAAGACGGCGUAUCAAAUCCACCGGUAUUUUUGGUUUUAAGUUUUUAUUUUCUACUUACCAGCCGAUUUCCUUUUUCCGGCCGAAACACACCGAUAUUUGGCCGAUACAGCCGAGCCGGCCCGAUUUGAGCCGCGUCGGCGCGAGUCGGGGAAUCCAUGUGGCAGGACGUGCCCCAAUGCGGCACCGACGCGCGGUCAGUGGCAUCUCGCCGAGUCGGACGCGGGUGCGGCUCCUCUGGAGCCGUGUCCAUGCAUUCCAGCUUAUGGCUUUCUUACAACUGUAUGA
rnacentral:sRNA from 1 species